GGUGAACGCUGGCGGCGUGCUUAAGACAUGCAAGUCGAACGGCAGUCUUCGGACUGUAGUGGCGCACGGGUGAGUAACGCGUAACUGACCUACCCCAAAGUCGCGGAUAACGAUUCGAAAGAAUCGCUAAUACGUGAUGUGCUGUCAGAUCCUGUUCUGCCAGUAAAGAUUGAUUGCUUUGGGAUGGGGUUGGGUUCCAUCAGCUAGUUGGUGGGGUAAAGGCCCACCAAGGCGACGACGGAUAGCCGGCCUGAGAGGGGGGCCGGCCACAGGGGCACUGAGACUCGGGUCCCACUCCUACGGGAGGCGGCAGUUAGGAAUCUUCCACAGUGGGCGAAAGCCUGAUGGAGCGACGCCGCGUGAGGGAUGAAGGUCGUCGGAUCGUAAACCUCUGAAUCAGGGACGAAAGACACUUCGGUGGGAUGACGGUACCUGAGUAAUAGCACCGGCUAACUCCGUGCCAGCCGCCGCGGUAAGAC
rnacentral:rRNA from 1 species